UGGGGAAUUUUGGACAAUGGGCGAAAGCCUGAUCCAGCAAUGCCGCGUGUGUGAAGAAGGCCUUCGGGUUGUAAAGCACUUUUGUCCGGAAAGAAAUCCUUGGCUCUAAUACAGUCGGGGGAUGACGGUACCGGAAGAAUAAGCACCGGCUAACUACGUGCCAGCAGCCGCGGUAAUACGUAGGGUGCAAGCGUUAAUCGGAAUUACUGGGCGUAAAGCGUGCGCAGGCGGUUUGCUAAGACCGAUGUGAAAUCCCCGGGCUCAACCUGGGAACUGCAUUGGUGACUGGCAGGCUAGAGUAUGGCAGAGGAGGGUAGAAUUCCACGUGUAGCAGUGAAAUGCGUAGAGAUGUGGAGGAAUACCGAUGGCGAAGGCAGCCCCCCUGGGGCCAAUACUGACGCUCAUGCACGAAAGCGUGGGGAGCAAACAGGAUUAGAUACCCUGGUAGUCCACGCCCUAAACGAUGUCAACUAGUUGUUGGGGGAUUCAUUUUCCUUAGUAACGUAGCUAACGCAUUAAGCG
rnacentral:rRNA from 1 species